rnacentral:rRNA from 1 species
CCUACGGGUGGCUGCAGUGAGGAAUAUUGGUCAAUGGCCGGAAGGCUGAACCAGCCAUGCCGCGUGAGGGUCAGUGCCCUAUGGGCGUUAAACUUCUUUUGUGCGGGAGCAAUAAUGGUCACGUGUGGCCAGACGAGAGUACCGUACGAAUAAGCAUCGGCUAACUCCGUGCCAGCAGCCGCGGUAAUACGGGGGAUGCAAGCGUUAUCCGGAUUUAGUGGGUUUAAAGGGUGCGUAGGCUGUGAGGUAAGUCAGCGGUGAAAUGCCCCCGCUCAACGGGGUGAAGUGCCAUGGAUACUGCCUUGCUAGAGUGCGGAUGGGGUGGGUGGAAUGUGUGGGGUAGCGGUGAAAUGCGUAGAGAU